UCGAACGCGACUUAGGCUUCGGUCUAAGUUGAGUGGCGAACGGGUGAGUAACACGUGGGUGACCUACCUUCGAGUGGGGGAUAACGUCCCGAAAGGGACGCUAAUACCGCAUAACGUCCUGCCUUUGAACAGGCGGAGAUCAAAGCCGGGGAUCGCAAGACCUGGCGCUUGAUGAGGGGCCCGCGUCCGAUUAGCUAGUUGGUGAGGUAAUGGCUCACCAAGGCAACGAUCGGUAGCCGGCCUGAGAGGGCGGACGGCCACACUGGGACUGAGACACGGCCCAGACUCCUACGGGAGGCAGCAGUGGGGGAUUGUUCGCAAUGGGCGCAAGCCUGACGACGCAACGCCGCGUGGAGGAUGAAGGUCUUCGGAUUGUAAACUCCUGUUGCCCGGGACGAAUGGCUCCAACCUAAUACGUUGGAGUGUGACGGUACCGGGUGAGGAAGCCCCGGCUAACUCUGUGCCAGCAGCCGCGGUAAUACAGAGGGGGCAAGCGUUG
rnacentral:rRNA from 1 species